rnacentral:rRNA from 1 species
AGCGAACGCUGGCGGCAGGCCUAACACAUGCAAGUCGAACGAACCUUUCGGGGUUAGUGGCGGACGGGUGAGUAACACGUGGGAACGUGCCUUUAGGUUCGGAAUAACUCAGGGAAACUUGUGCUAAUACCGAAUGUGCCCUUCGGGGGAAAGAUUAAUCGCCUUUAGAGCGGCCCGCGUCUGAUUAGCUAGUUGGUUGAGGUAAUGGCUCACCACGGCGACGAUCAGUAGCUGGUCUGAGAGGAUGAUCAGCCACAUUGGGACUGAGACACGGCCCAAACUCCUACGCGAGGCAGCAGUGGGGAAUCUUGCGCAAUGAGCGAAAGCCUGACGCAGCCAUGCCGCGUGAAUGAUGAAGGUCUUAGGAUUGUAAAAUUCUUUCACCGGGGACGAUAAUGACGGUACCCGGAGAAGAAGCCCCGGCUAACUUCGUG